UGGCACUAGAGGGAGAGGCCAGAGUGGCCGCGGCGGAGGAGCGGUAGUGUUGAGUUGGUGUGCUUCCAAGGCGAAGGGACGGGAAGUACUACAGUUAAUUGAACCUGGUAUCAAUCCAAUACGGCUAGCAGCAGAGCGGCUGAAGAAGGCAAGGCACGGCUAGCAGCAGAGCAGCUGAAAAAGAUUUCCAGCAUCCGGAGUAUUUUGCUUUUAUUUUACUGCUUAUUCUGAAGUCUGUCCCUGGCUGAUUCAGUAGUAUGCAUUGUAAAGUAGCAGUCUCCUAAUGAAUAAAGUGUUU